GCUUUGUACGGAGACAGGCAGACCCUACAGAGCACUGCCAGAUACCUGGACCGUGCUGUAAUGAAUUAAUCCCAGUACGGAGCCUUAGUCUUAGUACAUGGAGGCUUACAAAUGGCUUGAAUCUAAGACGAACUUCACACUAGACUCUAGACAUACCCUAGAGUCUCAGUGUAUAUUGAAUGGCAAGCUUGGAGAUAUCAUUACUAUGGAUUCACAAUUAACAAACUCAGUCUCAGAUUUAGGAAAUUUAUAUUUAUCUGGAUACUUAAGUGUACAAAAAUUAUCUUUACUUUUUCUACUUGUUUGCUUUUGUUCAUGGAUAUGUUCUAGCUGGACGUUACUGGUUGUGUACAUUACAAGUGUUUUUUUAGGAUUAAAAAUAUCAAAUAUAAUAGUGACACAGGAUUAUUAUUGUUUGAAUGGUUUAUUGCACAAUAUUAUAAAUAUAUCAUCAUUAUGGGGAUUGGACUAUUUUUUCAAUGAUCUUGAUUUAUAUUAUUAUAUUUUGCAAAAGAAAGAUAAACUGGAUAAUAUAUCUAAUUCUCACUCAUAUAAUUCAUCUAGAUCUAUAUCAAAAGAAUCACUUGCACAACAAGUAAAUUUAGUAAAUGAUUUGCAAUGGAUUCAAAGAAAUAAAAACUUGAAAAAGGCUGAAAACAUUCCCAAGUCAGUUGUUUUAGAAUUAAACUCCAUACAGCUUUUAAUAUUUCGAGAUUUUGUGAAUUCAUGGUUUUCUCCUAUCUCCAGUGAUUCACUAUUUCCCAAAGAUAUAAAACAGUUAUUGCAACAAACCUUCAUAAACCUAGCUGAGCGUUGUUACCAAAAGCAUACGGAAAUAUUAGUUAUUGCAUUUUUACAGCUUUAUCAGCAUCAUUUUGCCUCAUUUAAAAAAGCUAAGCUGAUUUAUGAGAGGGAUAAUAUGAAAGUCUUUCAAAAUGACAAUAUUAAGAAAUGUUUAACUGUGGAUGAAGCUUUCUGUAAAAAAGUAGACUUUCAUUAUGCUGUGCAAUCUACAUCUAAUGAAAUUAAAUACAUGAGAGGUAUUGUAAACUUGCUUCUUUCGAGUUUAGCUGAACCACAUCUGCUGCAUGGCAUCUCAGUUAAAAUUUUGUUAAUAGAGAUUCUUACAAGCAAAAUUUUCAUUCCUGCUAUUAACUUAAUAUCAGAUCCUGACUGGCUUUUGGAAGCAAUUAUUCUUGCAACAUCUCAGAAAAAAAUCAUUUUAAAUGAUGAUUGGAAUGCAACUGAAGAACCUUUGAAAUUGAAUACUAAAAUCAAUGAAAUGGUCACAAAUGAUAAAUUUAGUCAUCACAUCUAUAAAUUAAAGGAAGCUGAUCUAAUUGGAAAAGCUGAUUAUCAUGGUAAUAAUUUGGAAUAUCUAGAUCACCUAAAAAGUUCUGAAUCACAUUUGUCUGCUCAAAAUCACAGUCCUGUCAAUACCUUCCUAAACAAUAUAGACAGUGAAUAUCUAGAUCAAAAGUAUACAUCCCCCAAAAGCCAUGUUGAACUUACCACUGAUUUGCAGAAAGAUAAUAUGAAUGCUCAAAUGUUUAUGGAUACUCCCAGUAAUUUGACUGAAAUCAAUUCAUCUAAAUUGCCUUUGACAGCCCUGAAAGAAAACUCUGAUCAGCAAGAAGAUGUAAUAGAUGGUCAACAAAACACUCUCUCAGGUGUUGAUCCAAAUUCACAUUAUCUACCAUUGCAUCAGGUGCCAAGCUUGUUGGUAGAGGGUGAAAAAAGCUAUUUAACAACCAGUGAUGGCAUUGCUGUUGAAACGUCAAACUCUUUUCCAAAACAUACAUUAUUAAAAAAAAGAAUUACCGAUUUAAAAUCUAUUGAGCCACAGCAAAACAUAAAGAACAACAAAUGUUUAACACUUUUUACUGAAUCUUCAACUUUGAAAAAAGAAUUAGAAAGUGACUUAUAUACACCUGAGGUAUUAGUGGAUGAUGUUUUAGUAGAAAGUACUAAUUUAAUUUCUCCUGCAUACAUAGAAACUGAUUUAAUAUCAAGCACAGGAUUAGCAAGCUUUUUAAGUUUAUCAUCAUCAACAUCUCAAGUGUUUACUAGCCUCAUUGAGUACACUGAUCUCAAACCUUUGCCAAGGGAUAUGUCCUUAAACUGGAAUGAUACUACUGUGUCAAAAGAUGAGAUUGAGCAAAUAAACCCUUCUAUAUCUGAGGACAUGAGGAUAUUUCAGGAUAUUGCCAUACCUGAAGCAUUUCCAUUUCGGGAUGAAAAAAGUUCUUCAACUUACUCACUGUAUACAAUAGAGUAUGAAGCUUUGUAUUUUACUGAAGAAGGCAAAUCUGUGAUGCGUACUGGUAUAGUAAAGAGAAGAUACCGUGAAUUCACUAAUCUUCAGUCAAGGUUAGAGGGACAACAGGCUUACAAAAAAUAUCUGAAAAACCUCAAAGUUCCAAAGCGUUGGCCUACAAUACCUUUCAAAACAUUAGAUAAAGAAACUGUAGAAACAAGAAGGAUAUUUUUAGAAAAAUAUUUGAAGGAUUUGAUCACAAAUGAGGCUAUUUGUAAUGGACCUGAUCUGAGAGAGUUUUUGGCCUAUGAGGGAAGUUCUCACAUAGCUUUUGUAAAGAAAUCACCUGAUGUCUUGGUACCUAGGAUUGAUAAGUUUUUGAUGCGCAGUGUGUCAGGAGUGAUGGACAGAAUCAAAAUGAUUCCCAACAUUCCUCAGGAAAUGAUUUCUGGAUUAAAAGGCCGUGAUAUAUCUGAUGAAAAACUUGCUUGUAAUAAAAUUCAGAUAGAUCCUGAUUAUAUUGAAUUUGUGUCAGACUUUGCAACUGAGCAAUUUCAUGAAGCAGACCCAAUCAAUAUUUUGAUGGCCAUGUGUAACCAGCUUGUAAAUGACCUCAAGGAAGUACAUUUGACUGGUAUAUGUGAAGACCAGAAAACUGAUCAGAAAGCAGAAAUAUUUAAAGUAGAAAUAGAGGACAUUAUAUUUGAUUUACAAACUCAUAUAACUACUCAAGAUCAAGGCUCUCUGCAAACUGCACCAUAAACCACCAACUUAAAGAACUUGACAACUCAGGGCUCCAAAGUAACGUAACACUUUAAUAGUUGAAUAAAUAACAGCCCAUACUGUACAAUUGGCAACACGUACACUGUACAAAUAUCUCUCUGAUAACACUGUUCUGCCAUAUCAACUCUUGCACUGGCCUCUCCGUCCAGGCUUGCACUGGGUUCAACAGUUCAGGACUGACUUCACAAACUAGGCUCAUUGUGUUGGACUCGAUCGCAGACCAAGAUCAAGACGCCAGUCAUCUCAACUGUACUUGACAGUACUCCGCACUGAACUGUUGUAAUGCUCCGUACAGAACCACACCGUUGAACUGUGCUGUAGUCGACCGUGUUCUGAACCCCUGUCGUGAACCUUCUGUCGUGAACCGUGCUGUAUUGAGCCCCUUUUCUCAACCGUCUUGACUGCGACACCUCCGCUCUUAAAUAGGGUUCCUACUGGCCUUCUCAAACCGGACAGAACGCCGCUCGACGUUUCUAGGUGGUCAGAUGACUACAACUCUCGUGACGCUCCUGACCUCUGUUCACGACGUCGAUCCUUCCUGAACCGUCAUGUUGACACUCGUCUCGGCUGACCGUCGUAACUCGUCACGGUUGACCGCUCGUCUUGCGCUGGCCUGGGGCGAUUUGCGUCGGCUGACUACACUCACACCACUACCCCAAUCUGUGCCACCACCAGGUUUAUAACAAUAUAUAUAUAUAAAUUAAAAAAUAUUUGGUUGCUUAAAGCUUUCAGAUAAAGUGUGAGUGUGGAAAAGUACACAAAAGAUGAAUAUUUGUGUGAACUAUGAUUAUGUGUGAUUACGUCAUCAAGACAUAAAUGUAUGAGAAGUUUGGAGUUAAUCAACAAAAUACUGCGUACAAACUAGCGCAAACAAAAUAGUGCAGAAAAAAUAUAUUUGUCAUUUUGAAAGAAAUACUUAAGAUAUCGUAAAAUAUGAAUAGAGCCAAUAUUUUUUGUUUUAAUGUUAUCAUUAUUUUUCAGUCAUUUUGCAGGAAACAUAAAUAUACAAACAGUAAGCAAAAAUUAUAAUAAGCUAAAAUGAAUAAUUUCAAAAUAUUAUCAUUUAUUUACAUUCCAAAAGUGUACUUUAAAAACAGGUAAAGAUACUUGUCAGAUUUAUAUAUACACACAUACACAAACUUUCACAAAGUUUACUUGUAGGAAAUGUCACAUAGAAAUUCCAUCACUGCUUGAACGGGGUCACCACAUUUAUGUAUGGAAAAACCAAUUGACUUUUAUUGUACAAGGAUGAGUGAACAGCUAAGAAACUGUACAAGUCAGGACUGUGUGGAAAUGGGUCAGAAAACAACGAGAUGCUGGAAUGAAGGAUAAAAAAUAUUCUGAUAAACCAAAAUGUUCAGUGGUUCUUGAACUGUUAGCUCUAGGACUUCAAGAUCAUUGGCUUUGUAGGGACAAAGUUCUUAAAUCUUUACAGUUAAUACUAGCCAAAAUAUUGAAUGG